CAUGAAGCCCCCCUCGAGAUGAGAUUUCCCAUAGCGUCAAGCUAGUAAGAUCCCUGAAAGAUGAUCAGGUUGAUAGGUCAGAGGUGGAAGCGUGGCGACAUGUGGAGCUGACUGAUACUAAUCGAUCGAGGACUUAACCAA
rnacentral:rRNA from 1 species